rnacentral:rRNA from 1 species
UACAGAGGUCCCAAGCGUUGUUCGGAAUUACUGGGCGUAAAGGGCUCGUAGGCGGCCAACUAAGUCAGACGUGAAAUCCCUCGGCUUAACCUGGGAACUGCGUCCGAUACUGGCGGGCUUGAAUUCGGGAGAGGGAUGUGGAAUUCCAGGUGUAGCGGUGAAAUGCGUAGAUAUCUGGAGGAACACCGGUGGCGAAGGCGGCAUCCUGGACCGACAUUGACGCUGAGGCGCGAAAGCCAGGGGAGCAAACGGG